AAUCCAGGCUCUUGUAAAAUGAGACUAGCAGAGCCAUUCCCAAGUUCUCAGGAUGGGGAGAUGGUAGUCAGAGUUAAAAUAUCACCCAAAUAGUUUAAAAACUCAAGAGAAGGGCUUAAGAGAUAAGACAUUUUUUAUGAUCCCAAUACAACUGCAUCUAACAGAUACUGCAUCUUUUCUCUGGAAGAGAACAUUAUAGAGCUGAAACCCUUGCCUUUUAACCUGUCUUUGUAAUGAAGGCAAGAAUGAAGUUGUGGAUUUGUAGGAGUCCUUUUUUCCUAUGGUGCCCAGUAUGUUUUCCCACCCACUGCAGUACAGCAAUUAGGGUUGUUCUUGAGCUCUUAAAGACCCAGUGGACUUGAACGGGAGCAUUUCUUCCAGAAAGGGCCUGUCCUGCUUACUGUCAUUUCAGGAAAAAUGCAGAGAAAUCAGCACUACCUCCUAAGCCUGCCUUCCUAAUGGCUUUCCCUGAUGAAAUAGGAGCUUGUGGUGAACAUUGAGUGGGGCUGCAGAGCCCUCUUGUGGAUUUUCGCUUAAUCACAUUCUUUUUAGCAGCUCUGAAUCUGAUGGGCCCCUGAGGUUAGCUCUGAUUUCAAAUAAACCAUUUAGGGGUGGCAUUUUGAAGGCUCCUUUUAGGCCAUAGAAGUGGGGGGAGAAAAGAGGGACCCUGCACUCACAACCUGAAGGAUCUGUGUUCAGUUCACCUUGGUGGUCCCUCCUGCUGGCAGAGUGGUUGGUGCCCAGCAGGUACGAGCAGAAUGUUAAGAAAUAAACCAGAGAAUAAAUCCAAUCAGUGAGUGAAAGCAGAGUUCCUCCUAAAGCAGCCGAAAUACAUCCAGAGAGUCACAGGUAUUGGCAGACUGUGUCCGAAGACACCCAGAAUAAGGGGGAGAAAUGGGAGUUAAAAGUGGCAAAAUCUAGAAAGUCAUGUUUAUAGGGAUGAGGCAUCAAAAACAACUAGAGGCCUUCUUGGGACAAAGGCUACGUUAGCAGAGAAUAGACCAAAUCCUAAGCACUCAGGGAGUUACACCCCUAUAAGCACCACACUGUGAAGCCUCCCCAGGUUUGUCAGAGGAGCAAAGAAGCAGCUGUGGUAGAGUUAGAGAAAACAGUUUCCGGCUUAAUUUGCAUCCCAGGCAUCUUCCUGUCCCCUCCAUCCACAGAUAGAACUUAACCACUGUCUUUCUCUUACGUUUUCUUUUAUAAAAGCCGUUACCUCUCUCAUCUUUUCUAUUCCCAGGGUGAAAAUAUAGGAGAUUACGAUCCAUUCCUGGGUGGACGGCCAGCGUUCCAUCUUCACUAACACGAUAUAGUUGAAGAGCAUCAGGUAUCCGAUAUACGCCAGCUGUAAGGAGACACAAUACAGUGCUCUGGCUGUUCAGGCCCAGGAGCCCCAGCAUCAGCCAAGGCCACUGCACAGCAGCACAGAGCAGGGUCAGCAAGCAGGACACAGACUUUAUGACAAAAGGAACUUGAAGGUGCUAAACUAACAAAAGAAUUAGAAAAGACAGUAAUACUUGAAGGAUUAUAAUAUGCAAUCUUCCUUUUGACCUGUACAUGUAUCUCUGGGGCUCUGGUGCUUCGUUUAAAUCUAUGUGUCAUGAUGCAUCAUUUCGCCUUGCAGUUACCCAUUUUUGUGUGUUUUCUUGGCUAAAAAGGGAGCCUUGGCUGUCAGUGGCGGCUCUUGCUCAGGCGUGGACCUUAGGUUCUUAAACUAGGGCAGCACAGUGGAUUUUUGCCUCACGAAUGCCAGGCAGAAUAAGUGUCUGUGAGAAGCAAAGGAAGAGGAAGACACAUGUAACACCUGUAAAUUGGUCAAACCAACAUAAAAAUAGCCCAGGCUUAAAGUGCUUCGCUUGUCAGUGCCCUGGGAGGGUCUUACCUGUUUUCAUUUCACCACUUUCCUGUCCUAAUCAAGUUAAGAUAAGAUAUUCCUUCCUGGUGUCUGCUUCAUUGAAACAACACAAGAAAAGACAACACAGUUUACAGAAAGGAAAGGGUCCGUGUGGCCUUUUGUGGACGGGUGUGGGGUUUAAUCCCCAAGAGGCUCUGGCUCGUGGGGUUGAAUCCUGAUGUGACUGGCUGAAUUGCUGGAUGUCUGGGAAGAACUCCCUAGGGUUUGGUGACUGCUCCUGGAAGAUUCAGUUGUGUCAAGGGUCUCACUCUCGUCACCCAGGCUGGAGUGCAGUGGCAUUGUGAUCUCGGCUCAUUGUAGCAUUGACUUCCUGGGCUCAGCCACUUCACACCUUGAAUUUGAAUCCUCUCCAGAUGGAUACCUGAAAUAGGCUCUCAAAACAAGCAGGGUCUAGGAGCCAGUUGGACCCCUGCCUCCUUUCUUCUUGGACCAGAAGAGGACCCAAUCUGCUCCUAGAGAAACUUGCUACGAUGCAGAAGUGAGGUUAUAUGGAAAUGAAGUGUGUCCUACCUUUCAGAAACUUGGGAGAGUAGGAGAGACCAUUUUUGAAAAUCUGGUGAGAAAUACUCUUACAGAGAAAAACACAGCCCAAAGCACAUGGGACCUUCAAUCUGAAAUUGAAUUGUACUGUUAAGCAUGUCUGGUGAUUCAAAAGACUGGCAUACCUUAUUUCCAGUCACUUCCUCGAGGCCUGGGCUUUGUCAAUAUGUGAAGAUGAAUUUUGGAGAAUCAUGUAAACACAAUUGAACAGAUCUGGGGGAUCCAGUCUGAUGGGUUUGCUGAGGCCAAUCCAGUCAGCCACGCAGAAGUGUGCUGGACACACAGGCCCCACCACCCCCCGCCAAAGAGGCAGCCUCCCAACAAGCUGCCAAUGACAUAAGCAAAGCAGCGUGUCUCAAGUGUCUCCAAUCAUAAGAUUCGCCUGGGAAGCUGGUUAAACUAACACAGCCUCUUAGGCUCCUUCCUGAAGACUGGAUUCCAUGGGUCUAUGAUGGGGCUAGAAAUUUGCAUUUCUAACAAAACUCCCUUGUCAUCAUGGACGUUUUAGAGAUAUUGAUACUAUUAUUUCUACUGAUUUCUGCUCUCGGGAGUCUGUAAACUUUUUCUGCAAAUGGCCAACUGGUUAACUUUUAAGGCUUUGUAGAACCGAUAGUCUCUCUCUGUCUCUCACUACUCAUCAACUUGAUGUGGUAGCACAAAAGCAGUCAGUCAGCCUAUUGCUAAUGGUAAAUGAGAUUUAGCCUAAAGCUGCCUCCUUAAGUUCGGCCUGAAGUUUUCUCUGUACAUUGUGAACUAUAACAAAUGAAGGUGUAACAAGACCAAUCACCGAGUUUCGGUCAAUCAAAUGUAGCCAACUGCUCAAACUGUGUUCAAAUAAGGCAAACGCUGAGCUGUAACCAAUCCAGCUGUUUCUGUACCUCACUUCCGUUUUCUGUAUGCCACUUCCCUUUUUCUGUCCAUAAAUCUUCCACCACGUGGCCCUGCCAGAGUCUCUGAGCCUACUCUGGCUUGGAAGACUGCCCAAUUCACGAAUCGUUCAUUUGCUCAAUUAAACUCCUUUAAAUUUAUUCGGCUCAAGUUUUUCUUUUAACAGAAAUCAAGAGUCUGCCUGUGUUCCAAUUAUUUAUGGACACUAAAAUUUGAAUAUGUGUUUCAAGUAUUCCUUUUCAAAUUUUAUUAAAAAUGUAAAAACCAUUCUCAGUUCGCAGGCCACAAUCACAGGCCAUGGGUUGAAUUUGGCUCAAAAGCUGUAGUUUGCCAAGCCCUGUUCUAAGCUAACAGUUGGGGAAUCAUAAUAUAAAAGGAAGGACAGACCUGGGUGUGAAAUAGCUGCAAAAAUAUUAUCUCGGGCUGGGCGCAGUGGUUAUUGCCUGUAAUCCCAGCACUUUGGUAGGCUGAGGCAGGCCCAUAGCUUGAGGCCAGCAGUUCAAGACCAGCCUGGCCAACGUGGCAAAACCCCAUCUCUACUAAAAAUACAAAAAUUAAUUAGCCAGGUGUGGUGGUGAACACCUGUAAUCCCAGCUACUCGGGAGGCUGAGACAUGAGACUCACUUGAAUCCAGGAGAUGGAGGUUGCAGUGAGCCAAGAUUGUACCACUGCACUCCAGCCUAGGUGACAGAGUAAGAGUUUGUCUCCUAAAUAAAUAAAUAUUAUCUUGAUAAAAUAGUUGUUAGGAUUACAAAGAGUACUUAAAUAAUAGUACCUAGAACAUUGCCUCAAACUUAGUAGGUGCUCAAUAAAAGAAAGAUAUUAUUUUUGUUGAGUGGAUGUAUGAACACAACACUGAUUAUCUAUUGCUGGGCAACGUGAAUAGCCUAGAAGAAACAAUAGUCACAGUUACAUUGUACUUAUAUGUCAAGGAACUGUUCUAAGUGCUUUACAUGUUUUAACACAUUUAAUCUUGAUUAAAUCCUAUAAAAUCGGAACUACUAUUAUUGGCAUCUUAAGAAAACUGUGGACAGAAGGGGAAAUUAAGUUGUUUGAGGGCACAUGGUAAGAGGUGCAGAUGGGAUUCCCAC
rnacentral:lncRNA from 1 species